UAAGGAAUAUUGGUCAAUGGACGCAAGUCUGAACCAGCCAUGCCGCGUGAAGGAUGAAGGUCCUCUGGAUUGUAAACUUCUUUUAUCUGGGACGAAAACGGGAUUUUUAUCUCAAUUGACGGUACCAGAGGAAUAAGCACCGGCUAACUCCGUGCCAGCAGCCGCGGUAAUACGGAGGGUGCGAGCGUUAUCCGGAUUUACUGGGUUUAAAGGGUGCGUAGGUGGGCUUAUAAGUCAGUGGUGAAAUCUCCGAGCUUAACUUGGAAACUGCCGUUGAUACUAUAGGUCUUGAAUUAUCUGGAGGUAAGCGGAAUAUGUCAUGUAGCGGUGAGAUGCUUAGAUAUGACAUAGAACACCAAUUGCGAAGGCAGCUUACUACAUAUAAAUUGACGCUGAGGCACGAAAGCGUGGGGAUCAAACA
rnacentral:rRNA from 1 species